UGGCCACAUCUCCCUCUCUUUCCCCUGCCUCCUUCUCCAGCACAGGCCGCCACCACAGCCAGGCCGGCGUGGGGCGCGCCACCAGCUCCACUUCGUCGCCGCACCUCCGCACUCCAUGCAUCCAUUCGCUGCACCGCGACCCAUCCACCAUAACUACCACGAGUCCCUUGCUGCACCUCACGCCACCAAUCUGAAUCUCUUCUUCCUUCUUGCUGUUGUUCAUCUCAACCUCGUUGUUGUUCAUCAUUGCUACUGCCCGUAGCUCUCUUCUUCUCUCUCAAACUUGUUGGUGUUGAUGCCCUCAACCUCCUGCUGCUCCUCUCUUCUUGCGCUCCUGCUGUUGCCCCUUCUACCCCUACCUCGCUACUGCUCUGCUUCUUUUCCAUCCCCACGCUGUUGCUCUCUACACCCCUGCUGCUGCUUCUUUCCCAGUCUUGCAAUAGCCCUUCUGCAUCUCCAACUUGCUACUGCUCCUCUGAACCUCUUCUCCUCCUAGUCUUGCUUCUAUCUUGCCGCUUCCCUGUAGCAGUUCCUUUCCUUCACCCGCUGCUCUCUUUGUGUGUGUGUGUGUGUGCGUGUGUGUGUGUGUUCGUGUGUGUGAGAUUGUGUGUGUUUGUACUUCAUAAGUAUUGAUAGUGUGUGAUGAAGAGAUAUGUUAAUUCCAGGGACAUGUAGUUGUUCUUAUAAUUUUGUUGAUCAGUGAGAAUUGGUACUGAUGCUUAUGACCUUCUAUUUCUAUGUAUGAGAUCUAGCCAAACCUGUCAUUUUAUAUAUUGUAAUUGCUGAAUAGUGUUCAGUUUUCAGUCCCUGUUUUAGCUCUAGUACCCGUGACAUAUAUGUUCGUGAUAUAUGUUUCAUGUGGUUUCGUAUUGCUGUUAUGUUGAUCAUUUUAGUGCUAGUACUGUGUCUUGUGUAAUCCAAACCAUAUAUGAUUUGUGUAUGUGACUAAUUGUCAGCUAGUAGCUUUUAAUAAUUCAUAUUGUUUCUUGUGAAUUUGUAGAAGUGAGAUGUAUGAACAUUUAAUUUCCAGUCUCUGUGUUAACGAUGUUAGUGUGAAUAUAUAUAUAUAUAUAUAUAUAUAUAUAUAUAUAUAUAUAUAUGUUUUUGUUGUGAUAUAUUUCUGUCCCUGUCGUACUAGCGUGUUCCUACCUUGUCUCAUACUUGCUAGUUAUAUAUAUACAUAUAUGUGGUCUUGUCUUGUCAAUUCCCCUUGUUGAGGAUGUCCGUCUGUAGUUUCAAUUUUCUCAAGUGAUAUGAAAACACCAAAAAAAGAGCGAGUUUCAAUCUUAAUCUCCUCGUGCCGUUUGUCAUUUUAUUUGUCAUCAUUCUAGAUUUGUAUUUUCUUCUUUCAUCAUCUAAAUUCUGUCACCUAGCUUUAGCCGAGCAUUGUUGCCGUCGCCUAGUCCCUGUGGAGAACACGACACUGCAGAUUUGGGCGAAAUACCCUGUUGUACUUACGAUUGAUCAUUUUGGCACCGUUGCCAGGGACUAGCGUCGAGUGACUGUGUUAGGCUAUAGACUAGGUUUUUCUUCUUUUUCUAGUUUGUGCCAUAUAUUUGUGAUAUAUCUCUAACCACUAACCCCUGCUCUAGUUAGUAUCUUUUUUGUUUUCUUUUCCUUUUUGCAUGUUAGAAUUAUCUUCUCGGUUAUGGCUUACUAUGCAGUUCAUCAGGCUUAUGCGAGCAACACUACAAACAACACGGAAAGUAUUCAAGAACUGAUAACUAAGAUUUCCCAUCAAUUAGAUGACUUAGCUCGGCGACGAGAAGUAGUUUUUGAGGAUAGGCCUAGCUCUUAUGAUCCUUAUUCUAGAGGCCAUCCUUAUGUUGCUCCUACCUGCCAUAUUUGUGGAUUUCAGGGCCAUUCGCCCGCUGAAUGUCAGCGUGGUUACUCCCAUCCUCCGGAUUGUUUUGGCAUGAGCUUCGCUCAACAGCAUAGCUCAUACCAAAACAAUUACCCAUAUGGGUGGCCUGAAAACCCGAGUAUGUCAUAUAGGAGCAACAACCCUGAGAUCUCAUCGUUUUCUUCUAGUAAUCAUAUGCAGGGAUUUAGGUAUGAAGAGGAGAGCCACAACCAUGCACCACAACAGUUUUAUUCACCUCCUACUCAUAUACCUCAAUACCAGGAGAUGUGUCCAAUGGAGUUAAAUGGUCCUCCAUUUGAUCAACCAACAACUCCAUCACCUUCCAAGCAAUCUCUUGUGCAAGUGCCCACACAAGAUGAAUUUGAUGAUAUAGAGAAGCUCACAUUGCUUAGUCUCGAGUUCACUUGGAGUGCUGAAGAUGAUCCAAUUAGGCCGGUGAUACUAGAUGAAAUGAAGAAGAUCAAGAGUGGGAAUGAGCUAGUGGAAGAAGUAAGGAAGAUUGAGAAGAACAUCAACGCUGGCAGCACUAUUUCUUUAUAGCUAGAGCUGAGUAUUUCUGGGAUUUCCAUUGAUACUUGUGAGGUUUCAAUGCCUUCACAUCCAGCUGAGGAAGAUAGUAAGAGCCGUGAGGAAGAGAUACCUCAGAUUCAAGAAGAUGUACUCGAAGACAAGGAACAAGAUGAUCCAGAGCUUGACUACCCAAGUGAUCAAGUUGAAGAUCCAAUGUCUAUCCCUCCUGAAGAAGUAAAAGAAGUUGUUGUAGUUGAAGAUGAAGAACCAGAGAAUCAUUUGCCAAUUGUCAUUCAAGAGUGUGAUAUUGUUCGAGGUGACAUUCCUUGGGACCCUGGUGGACUCAGAGCAUGGGGAUGAGGAGAAGCAAGGAGCACACAUGAAGAAGAGUGAAGCUGGAGCAUGCACGAGGAAGCAAAGGAGAGGAGCUGCAGUUGGUGAGGUGAUCGAGCGAGUGCUACAUCAUCAAAGCCCGGUGAGCUGUUUCAUGACCCAUUUUGAAAUCAUCAUCCAUUGAUGCUUGCUAAAUUAAAUUGCUUUUUGGGUUGCUUGUGCCAUUUCUUAAAUGUUGUCCCACUGAAUUUCACCUUUGACAUAUGGUGCUUGAUGAGAAUAUGCGAACUGAUUGUUGAAUGCCUUGUAAACUAGUGAUCUACACAAUGCUUGCUUUGCUGAAAGUAGUGAAGGCUACUAGUUUUGAGUGCUCAAAUCCCUAGUACACUAGAAAACUUAAUCAUUUUCUUCUUUUACCUUGAUACACCUAGAUCAUUAAGUGUCAGAUGCUGAGUUUGUGCCUAAUGUGUUCCCAUUCAGAGCAAUCACUCACCACUAUGGACUAGCAUGCUAUGUUCCCUGGAUCGGUAGUAUGUGAAUCAGACCUGGAUGAGUGAUGAUUCUUGUUUCCUUUUUGUAUUCAUUUGUUAAAUAAGUAAUAAUGAAUAAAUAAUUAUCUUAUCUUACCUAACAGUAGCAUGUCAUGUUCCCUGGAUCGGUGGCUUGUGAAAUCUGGUUGGAUCGGAUAGGAGUUAAUUAUAUUAAAAAAUGUUAUAUUUGUCGAACCAGGUGUAUACCAUGUUCUCUUGAUCGGUGGUAUGUUCCUUUGGCGAGACAAAUAAAAAAACUAAUAAUUGGUCGAGCCAGGUGCAUACCAUGUUCUCGGGAUCGGUGGUAUGUUCCUUUGGUGAGACCAAUAAAAUAUUACCAUUGCUUCCUUCAAAUUCAAUAAGUGGUUCAACCACAAUGUUCCUGGUAAUAAGUGAUCUGAUCACAAGUUUAAGUUCUUUUUGUUUUUUUGGAUCAUGCUCUCUUUAGGAACCUUUUGGCACAAUCAGCAUUUGAAUUUGUUGAUCCAUUUUUAUCAUUGUAAAAGUUUAAAAUGAUUGAGUCUACUAGUAUCCUAUUGCUUCGUAGCACUCUUAACCUUUGCUUUUCACAGGUAAUUCCAAAGCAUGCAAUGUUUGGAGAUCUACUUCACUGGGACAUUCUCUAGUCAGCUCACUGUUCACUGUCUAGCUCUUGUCAUAUGCCUUUACUUGAGGACAAGUAAAGAUUUAAGUGUGGGGGAACUUGAUAAGCACAUUUCAUAUAUAUAUAAUUUUGGCAUACAAAUAUACCAUUUGUUGAGUUCUGACAUUAGUUUUUGCUAUGAAAUACUGAAUAUUUGAAUGAUAAUCAUAUAAGAGCAUGUUGACUAGUGAAUUGUUUCUUUUGCAGAAAAGUGCGAGAAGGCACUAUAAACUUCAAGAUUCGGUCGAUUGCCAAACGCGAUGAGACUUGGGGCUGGAACGAGAGAACGAGGGACCCGAGCGAGAAGAAAAGAAGUAUCUAGGGGCAAGCUAAUGUUGGAGGAUCAUCUUGAGAAGAAAGGAAGCAGGAGGGCCAAAGUGAAAAAAUGGCAGAUCACAGGAGGUCAAAAUCCCUAGACUCCCUGAUUCCCAAAUCGGGCCUGGCCACAUCUCCCUCUCUUUCCCCUGCCUCCUUCUCCAGCAAAGGCCGCCGCCACGGCCAGGCCGGCGUGGGGCGCGCCACCGGCUCCACUUCGCCGCCGCACCUCCGCACUCCAUCCAUCCAUUCGCUGCACCGCGACCCAUCCACCAUAACUACCACGAGUCCCUUGCUGCACCUCAUGCCACCAAUCUGAAUCUCUUCUUCCUUCUUGCUGCUGUUCAUCCCAAUCUCGCUGCUGUUCAUCUUUGCUACUGCCCGCAGCUCUCUUCGUCUCUCUCAAACUUGUUGAUGCAGAUGCCCUCAACCUCCUGCUGCUCCUCUCUUCUUACGCCCCUGCUGUUGCCCCUUCUACCCCUACCUCGCUGCUGCUCUGCUUCUUUUUCAUCCCCACGCUGCUGCUACUCCUUCUCUCUACGCCCCUGCUGCUGCUUCUUUCCCAAUCUUGCCAUUGCCCUUCUGCAUCUCCAACUUGCUGCUGCUCCUCUGAACCUCUUCUCCUCCUAGUGCUGCUUCUAUCUUGCCGCUUCCCUGCAGCGGUUCCUUUCCUUCACCCGCUGCUCUCUCUGUGUAUGUGUGUGCGUGUUCGUGUGUGUGAGAUUGUGUGUGUUUGUACUUCAUAAGUAUUGAUAGUGUGUGAUGAAGAGAUAUGUUAAUUCCAGGGACAUGUAGCUGUUCUUAUAAUUUUGUUGAUCAGUGAGAAUUGGUACUGAUGCUGAUGACCUUCUAUUUCUAUGUAUGAGAUCUAGCUAAACCUGUCAUUUAUAUUCUGUACUUGUUGAAUAGUGUUCAAUUUUCAGUCCCUAUUUUAGCUCUA